GAUGAACGCUGGCGGCGUGCCUAAUACAUGCAAGUCGAGCGAACGGACGAGAAGCUUGCUUUUCUGAUGUUAGCGGCGGACGGGUGAGUAACACGUGGAUAACCUACCUAUAAGACUGGGAUAACUUCGGGAAACCGGAGCUAAUACCGGAUAAUAUUUUGAACCGCAUGGUUCAAAAGUGAAAGACGGUCUUGCUGUCACUUAUAGAUGGAUCCGCGCUGCAUUAGCUAGUUGGUAAGGUAACGGCUUACCAAGGCAACGAUGCAUAGCCGACCUGAGAGGGUGAUCGGCCACACUGGAACUGAGACACGGUCCAGACUCCUACGGGAGGCAGCAGUAGGGAAUCUUCCGCAGUGGGCGAAAGCCUGACGGAGCAACGCCGCGUGAGUGAUGAAGGUCUUCGGAUCGUAAAACUCUGUUAUUAGGGAAGAACAUAUGUGUAAGUAACUGUGCACAUCUUGACGGUACCUAAUCAGAAAGCCACGGCUAACUACGUG
rnacentral:rRNA from 1 species